GACGAACGCUGGCGGCGUGCUUAACACAUGCGAGUCGAACGGAAAGGCCCCUUUGGGGGUACUCGAGUGGCGAACGGGGGAGUAACACGUGAGUAACCUGCCCUUGACUUCGGGAUAACUUCAGGAAACUGGGGCUAAUACCGGAUAGGAAUCCUUGCUGCAUGGUGGGGGUUGGAAAGCUUCGGCGGUUUUGGAUGGACUCGCGGCUUAUCAGCUUGUUGGUGGGGUAGUGGCUUACCAAGGCUUUGACGGGUAGCCGGCCUGAGAGGGCGACCGGCCACAGUGGGACUGGGAUACGGCCCAGACUCCGACGGGAGGCAGCAGUGGGGAAUAUUGCACAAUGGGCGGAAGCCUGAUGCAGCAACGCCGCGGGCGGGAGGACGGCCUUCGGGUUGUAAACCGCUUUCAGCAGGGGCGAAGCUUGUGGUGACGGUACCUGCAGAAGAAGCACCGGCUAACUACGUG
rnacentral:rRNA from 1 species